CCUAAUGCUGACUAAAGGAAAAAGUUCAGUUUAGGGUUUAAAACCCUAAUGCUGAUUGCAUGGAAAAGCUCAGUUCAGGGUUUAAAACCCUAAUGCUGGCUGAAUGGAAAAAAGUUCAGUUUAGGGUUUAAAACCCUAAUGCUGACUAAAGGAAAAAUUAAGUUUAGGGAUUAAAACCUUAAUGCUGAUUGCAUGGAAGAGCUCAGUUUAGGGUUUAAAACCCUAAUGCUGGCUAAAGUAAAAAUUCAGUUUAGGGUUUAAAACCCUAAUGCUGACUAAAGGAAAAAUUCAGUUUAGGGUUUUAAAACCCUAAUGCUGAUUAAAGAAAAUAUUCAGUUUAGGGUUUAAAACCCUAAUGCAGACUAAAGGAAAAAUUCAGUUUAGGGUUUUAAAACCCUAAUGCUGACUGAAAGGAAAAAUUCAGUUUAGUGUUUAAAACCCUAAUGCUGACUGGAAGGAAAAGCUCAGUUUAGGGUUUAAAACUCUAAUGCUGGCUGAAUGGAAAAAGUUCAGUUUAGGGUUUAAAACCCUAAGGCUGAUUAAAGGAAAAAGUUCAGUUCAGGGUUUAAAACCUUAAUGCUGACUAAAGGAAAGAGUUCAGUUUAGGGUUUAAAACCCUAAUGCUGACAUGCAUGGAAAAAGUUCAGUUUAGGGACCCUAAGGCUGAUUAAAGGAAAAAGUUCAGUUCGGGGUUUUAAACCCUAAUGCUGAUUGCUGGAAAAGCUCCGUUUUGGGUUUAAAACCCUAAUGCUGGCUGAAAUGAAAAAGUUCAGUUUAGGGUUUAAAACCCUAAUGCUGACUAAAAGGAAAAUUCAGUUUAGGGUUUAAAACCCUAAUGCUGAUGGCUGGGGACAAAAUUCGAGAACAACCGCUGACUUCUUUUUUAUUGAAUUUUCUUAGUUUAGUAAAAGAAUAAAGGGAGUUUCGUGGAAACUUACCUUUCGAGUGAAUUCCUUAUUGUCAAAAUGUUUCUUGUACCCAUGUACCUUCUUCUUUGGGCGACACCUGCUUCUUGUACGGUUGUCUUGGAUUAAGCCUGUUUGAACUUUUCAGACAAAGAAAAUUUGUUAGUUCGGAAAAUGAUUGUCGGUUUGGUGACCUUGAUCGUUCCCGGUUGCCUUGUUGCAUCUUCAUUUCUGUUGCGAAGUCCCGCUAUUGAUUUGAUUCAUAUGUCGGAACCCUUUAGACUGCUCAGGCUUGCAUUUCCAGAUUCUGUGAUGAUUUGCCUCGUAAGGCUCUUUUUCUUUUCUCUCUUUUUGUCCCGUUUUGAUUGGAGGUUCUCAACGGGGAUUUUAUUGGAGGUGUUCUGUGGGAAUUUAUACAAAAGGAAGCUCUGUGGGGGAAUUUUUACAAAGUGGAUUCUUUGUGUGGAUUUUGUACAAUGGGGCAUGCUGGGUAUUUGUUUCAAAGCGAGUUUUCCAGGGUUUGUUGGGGUAAGCUUGUUGGGGAAUAUUUACAAAGGGACUCGCUGGGGAAUGUGCUGAGGAAAUUCCAACGGGGAUUUU
rnacentral:lncRNA from 1 species